rnacentral:rRNA from 1 species
AUUGAACGCUGGCGGCAUGCCUAACACAUGCAAGUCGAGCGGAUGAAGGCAGCUUGCUCCUGGAUUCAGCGGCGGACGGGUGAGUAAUGCCUAGGAAUCUGCCUGGCAGCGGUGGAUAACGUCCGGAAACGGCCGCUAAUACCGCAUACGUCCUGAGGGAGCAAGAGGGGGAUCUUCGGACCUCACGCUAUCAGAUGAGCCUAGCUCGGAUUAGCUAGUUUGUGGGGUAAAGGCCUACCAAGGCGACGAUCCGUAACUGAACUAAGAGGAUGAUCAGUCACACUGGAGCUGAGACACGGUCCAGACUCCUGAGGGAGGCCGCAGUCGGGAAUAUUAGACAAUGGUCGAAAGCAUGAUCCAACCAUGCCGCGUGUGUGAAGAAGAUCUUCGGAUUGUAAAGCCCUUUUAGUUGGGAGGAAGGGCAGUAAGUUAAUACCUUGCUCUUUUGACGUUACCAGCAGAAUAAGCACCGGCUAACUACGUG